GGGGAAUAUUGCACAAUGGGGGAAACCCUGAUGCAGCGACGCCGCGUGGAGGAAGAAGGUCUUCGGAUUGUAAACUCCUGUUGUUGAGGAAGAUAAUGACGGUACUCAACAAGGAAGUGACGGCUAACUACGUGCCAGCAGCCGCGGUAAAACGUAGGUCACAAGCGUUGUCCGGAAUUACUGGGUGUAAAGGGAGCGCAGGCGGGAGAACAAGUUGGAAGUGAAAUCCAUGGGCUCAACCCAUGAACUGCUUUCAAAACUGUUUUUCUUGAGUAGUGCAGAGGUAGGCGGAAUUCCCGGUGUAGCGGUGGAAUGCGUAGAUAUCGGGAGGAACACCAGUGGCGAAGGCGGCCUACUGGGCACCAACUGACGCUGAGGCUCGAAAGUGUGGGUAGCAAACAGGAUUAGAUACCCUGGUAGUCCACACCGUAAACGAUGAUUACUAGGUGUUGGAGGAUUGACCCCUUCAGUGCCGCAGUUAACACAAUAAGUAAUCCACCUGGGGAGUACGACCGCAAGGUUGAAACUCAAAGGAAUUGACGGGGGCCCGCACAAGCAGUGGAGUAUGUGGUUUAAUUCGACGCAACGCGAAGAACCUUACCAAGUCUUGACAUCCCUUGACGAUGCUGGAAACAGUAUUUCUCUUCGGAGCAAGGAGACAGGUGGUGCAUGGUUGUCGUCAGCUCGUGUCGUGAGAUGUUGGGUUAAGUCCCGCAACGAGCGCAACCCUUAUGGUCAGUUACUACGCAAGAGGACUCUGGCCAGACUGCCGUUGACAAAACGGAGGAAGGUGGGGAUGACGUCAAAUCAUCAUGCCCUUUAUGACUUGGGCUACACACGUACUACAAUGGCGUUAAACAAAGAGAAGCAAGACCGCGAGAUGGAGCAAAACUCAGAAACAACGUCCCAGUUCGGACUGCAGGCUGCAACUCGCCUGCACGAAGUCGGAAUUGCUAGUAAUCGUGGAUCAGCAUGCCACGGUGAAUACGUUCCCG
rnacentral:rRNA from 1 species